UUUCCGUAGGUGAACCUGCGGAAGGAUCAUUAACAAAUCGUGUCGCAUGUGGUGCUCUGCUCUUUCUUAGGGGGGGCGCCCAGGCAGACAUUAAUCCCGGGGCAACCCGGUAGAUACAUGUACGAAAAGCGAGAACGUGGGCAAAGCAUACAAACUUUUAAUAAUGGAUCUCUUGGCUCUUGCAUCGAUGAAGAACGCAGC
rnacentral:misc_RNA from 1 species